rnacentral:rRNA from 1 species
AUGGCGAGCGUGGCGGCGUCGAAGAAGGCGGCGAACCGGCUGGUGGUGGAGGAGGCCACCACCAACGAUGACAACUCUGUGUGCACCCUCCACCCCGCCACCAUGGAGAAGCUCUCCAUAUUCAAAGGCGACGUCGUGCUGCUCAAGGGCAAGCGCCGCCACAACACGGUCUGCAUGGCACUGCCCGAUGACACCUGCGAGGGGCACAAGCUCGGGAUCAUUAAUCAACAAGCCCGCUUCAACCUACGCGUGCGCAUCGCCGACGUCGUGUCGGUGCACCUGUGCCAUGACGCCAAGUUCGGCAGACGCGUGCACAUCCCCUUGGACGACACCGUCGAGGGCAUCGCGGGGAACCUCUUCGACGCCUACCUCAAGCCCUACUUUGUGGACGCCUACCGCCCGGUCCACAAGGGUGACCUCUUCCUUGUGCGUGGCGGCAUGCGGAGCGUCGAGUUCAAGGGCAUGGAGAUCGACCCCGCGAUGGACUACUGCGUCGUGGCGCCCGACACGGAGAUAUUCUACGAGGGCGACCCGGUCAAGCGAGAGGACAAGGAGAGGCUCGACGGCGUCGGCUACGGCAAGGUGGGUGGCAUGGGAAAACCGCUCACUCUGCAGGAGCUCGUCGAUCUGCCGCUCAGGCAUCCGCAGAUCUUCAAGAGCAUUGGCGUCAAGCCUCCCAAGGGCAUCCUCCUCUAUGACCCUCCCAGGUCGGGCAAGACGCUGAUCGCCAGCGUGGUCGCCAAUGAGACCGGGGCCUUCUUCUUCCUCAUCAACGGCCCGGAGAUAAUGUCCAAGAUGGACGGAGAGAGUGAGAGCAACCUGAGGAAGGCCUUCGAAGAAGCCGAGAAGAACGCGCCCUCCAUCAUAUUCAUCGACGAGAUCGACUCCAUUGCUCCGAACAGGGAGAAGACUCACGGUGAGGUCGAGAGGCGCAUCGUCUCCCAGCUGCUGACGCUGAUGGAUGGCAUGAAGGCCCACAUGCAUGUCAUCGUCAUGGGAGCCACGAAUCGCCCCAAUAGCAUCGACCCUGCCUUGAGGUGCUUCGGGAGGUUCGAUCGCGAGAUCGACAUCGGCGUGCCGGACGAGGUCGGGCGCCUCGAAGUGCUUCGCAUCCACACCAAAAACAUGAAGCUGGACAAGGACGUCAACCUGGAGGUGGUUGCCAAGGAUACGCACGGCUACGUCGGCGCCGACUUGGCCGCGCUCUACACCGAGGCGGCGCUGGAGUGCAUCAGGGAGAAGAUGGACAUGAUCGACUUAGAGGAUGACACCAUCGACGGCGAGAUCUUGAACUCCAUGGCCGUCACCAAUGACCACCUUAAGACGGGCCUCGUCGGCACAAACCCGUCCGCGCUACGUGAGACCGUCGUGGAGGUGCCCAACGUCAGCUGGAACGAUAUCGGCGGCCUCGAUAGCGUCAAGAGGGAGCUGCAAGAGACCGUUCAGUACCCGGUCGAGCACCCGGAGAAAUUCAAGAAGUUCGGUAUGUCGCCGUCCAAGGGCGUCCUCUUCUACGGGCCACCAGGAUGCGGCAAGACCUUGCUGGCGAAGGUGAUCGCUAACAAGUGCCAGACCAACUUCAUCAGCAUCAAGGUGCCAGAGCUGCUCACCAUGUGGUUUGGUGAGAGCGAGGCCAAUGUGUGCGAGAUCUUCGACAAGGCGCGCCAGUCUGCGCCGUGUGUGCUGUUCUUUGACGAGUUCGACUCCAUCGCAACCCAAAGAGGCGGCAGAGUGGGCGACGCUGGUGGCGCGGCGGAUAGGGUCCUAAACCAGCUGAUGAAGCUAUGUACCUAG